AUUGAACGCUGGCGGCAGGCCUAACACAUGCAAGUCGAACGAGUGGCGGACGGGUGAGUAAUGUCUGGGACACUGCCUGAUGGAGGGGGAUAACUACUGGAAACGGUAGCUAAUACCGCAUACCAUCGGAUGUGCCCAGAUGGGAUUAGCUAGUAGGUGGGGUAAUGGCUCACCUAGGCGACGAUGCCUCGCUGGUCUGAGAGGAUGACCAGCCACACUGGGACUGAGACACGGUCCUGACUCCUACGGGAGGCAGCAGUGGGGAAUAUUGCACAAUGGGCGAAAGCCUGAUUGAGCAAUGCCGCGUGUAUGAAGAAGGCCUUCGGGUUGUAAAGUACUGUCAGCGGGGAGGCGUUACCCGCAGAAGAAGCACCGGCUAACUCCGUGCCAGCAGCCGCGGUAAUUC
rnacentral:rRNA from 1 species